rfam:Schistosoma haematobium scaffold454_50, whole genome shotgun sequence.
AUUCAGCUGACGAGUCCUAAAUAGGACGAAAGACGCGUCCUAGAU